rnacentral:rRNA from 1 species
UACGUAGGGUGCAAGCGUUGUCCGGAAUUAUUGGGCGUAAAGAGCUCGUAGGCGGUCUGUCGCGUCGGAUGUGAAAACCCAGGGCUCAACCCUGGGCCUGCAUUCGAUACGGGCAGACUAGAGUACGGCAGGGGAGACUGGAAUUCCUGGUGUAGCGGUGAAAUGCGCAGAUAUCAGGAGGAACACCGGUGGCGAAGGCGGGUCUCUGGGCCGAAACUGACGCUGAGGAGCGAAAGCGUGGGGAGCGAACAGG